GGCCGUGUGGCUCAAUGGCAGAGCGUCUGACUACGAUUGACACCUGUUAAUGGAUGUGAUCAGAAGGUCGCAGGUUCGACCCCUGUCUCGGUCA